rnacentral:rRNA from 1 species
GAUGAACGCUAGCUACAGGCUUAACACAUGCAAGUCGAGGGGAAACGGCAUCGACAUCUUGCUUUUGCUGGGCGUCGACCGGCGCACGGGAGAGUAACGCGUAUCCAACCUGCCCAUCACUUGUGAAUAACCUUGCGAAAGUAAGACUAAUGCACAAUGCCAUCCCACGAAGGCAUUCGAAUGGGAUUAAAGUUUUAUCGGUGAUGGAUGGGGAUGCGUCUGAUUAGCUUGUUGGCGGGGUGACGGCCCACCAAGGCAACGAUCAGUAGGGGAUCUGAGAGGAAGGUCCACCAGAUUGGAACUGAGACACGGUCCACAAGGAUACGGGAGGGAGCAGUGAGGAAUAGUGGUGAAGGGACGAGAGCCUGAACCAGCCAAGUAGCGUGCAGGAUGACGGCGCUAGGGGUUGUAAACUGCUUGUAUAAGGGAAUAAAGUGGGUCACGGGUGACUUUUUGAAGGUACCUUAUGAAUAAGGACCGGCUAAGUACGUG